CACCUCUCUACCAAAGUUGGAGGGAAGCUUCAACAUCUGUCAUCUGAAGUCUCGUUGGUUGCUACAUUAACCAGAGUUCUGAAGGCUUCCUCCAAUGUUCUUUUCAUAAUAUCACAUGGACUAUCCUUGCUUUGUCUUAUUGAAUGAAUAUAGACAUUCAACUGGGAAUAUCAAUUCAAUAAUUUGACAAUAAAUAAUUAUUAAGCCCUUAUUAUGUGAUGCACUACUAGGUAUUGGGACUACAUAGAUGAAAAUCUACAUAGUGCCUACUGUGGAUAAAUUUAUAAUUAAAGUGGAAACUUCCUCACCCCACAUAGCAAAUUGUGAGUAGCAGAUUACUUUAUCCCUGGCUGUGAAAGAGGUCACACAGGUUACUCCAGUACAGCUUCCUUCCAAUUAUUUCGAGUCAUCUCUCCUUCCUGACUCUCUCCACUUCCACUUUGGCUUGAGCAGCAACUGUUGGAAAAAGACUGAACAAUGGACCAAGUUAGUGGAGUGAGGAGGACAAGUACUCAGAGGAAGGACAAGUACUCAGAGACACUGAAACGGAAAGACCUGGCAUGGAAUGAAGGUCAGCAGAUGGAAUCUAGAAGCCAGGGGGUGGUACAGUUCUGUCAUAAAAUUGCUAAAAGUGCCAAGACUUUAAUUAAAAAAAAAUCAAGUGCCAAG
rnacentral:lncRNA from 1 species